CAGCAGUGAGGAAUAUUGGUCAAUGGACGGAAGUCUGAACCAGCCAAGUCGCGUGAAGGAUGAAGGUUCUAUGGAUUGUAAACUUCUUUUGUCUGAGGGUAAAAAAGCGGACGUGUCCGUUCUUGCAAGUAUCAGACGAAUAAGCAUCGGCUAACUCCGUGCCAGCAGCCGCGGUAAUACGGAGGAUGCGAGCGUUAUCCGGAUUUAUUGGGUUUAAAGGGUGCGUAGGCGGGCUGCUAAGUCAGUGGUAAAAGCGUGUGGCUUAACCAUACCAAGCCAUUGAAACUGGCGACCUUGAGUGCAAACGAGGUAGGCGGAAUGUGACGUGUAGCGGUGAAAUGCUUAGAUAUGUCACAGAACCCCGAUUGCGAAGGCAGCUUACCAGCAUGCAACUGACGCUGAGGCACGAAAGCGUGGGUAUCAAACAGGAUUAGA
rnacentral:rRNA from 1 species